rnacentral:lncRNA from 1 species
CUGCGCGGAGGCGACUACAGGCAUGGCGGUCUGGGUCCUGUCGCGCCUGCUGAGCGCUCCGCGCCUGGCGCUGGCCAAGGCGGUCCUGAGGCACGUGAAUGGCCAGGAUCAGAUUGUGCCCGGCCUGUACGCCUGUGGGGAGGCCGCCUGUGCCUCGGUACAUGGUGCCAAUCGGCUCGGGGCAAACUCGCUCUUGGACUUGGUUGUCUUUGGUCAGGCAUGUGCCCUGAGCAUCGAAGAGUCAUGCAGGCCUGGAGAUAAAGUCCCUCCAAUUAAACCAAACGCUGGGGAAGAAUCUGUCAUGAAUCUUGACAAAUUGAGAUUUGCUGAUGGAAGCAUAAGAACAUGAGAACUGCGACUCAGCAUGCAGAAGUGCCGCUGGGUUAGGGUCUCCACAACCGAGCUGGUCUCAGCAAGUGGCGCCCACACAUGGGGGCUCGAAUCCAGGUCGAAGGGUCACCGGAGCGACAGAAAACUUGGAACUAAGCUGGAGGACACCGAGUACUCUUAUGCAGUCCCCAUGGACUGAACCAUCAAGACACCUGAAACCUUAUCAUGAGCGAAUGCUGAGGAAGAGAUUCCGGGAGGAUCCCGAGGACCCCCCCAGUUGCAGCCAUGUCAAGACUGAUGCUGAGGAGGACCCCAACUGUCACGAGCAACACCCGUCAAACACAGCCAUCCACCUGAGGUCAGAUCAAGAAGCUGUCACAGAUGGCAGAAGAAAACCUGAGGAAUGGUCUGGAACACGGACCUGGUGGAGACCCUGGAGCUGCAGAACCUGAUGCUGUGUGCGCUGCAGACCAUCUACGGAGCAGAGGCGCGGAAGGAGUCACGGGGCACGCACGCCAGGGAAGGCUACAAGGUGCAGAUUGAUGAGUACGAUUACUCCAAGCCCAUCCAGGGGCAACAGAAGAAGCCCUUUGAGGAGCACUGGAGGAAGCACACCCUGUCCUAUGUGGACGUUGGCACUGGGAAGACCCGUAAUCGACAAAACUUUGAACGAGGCUGACUGUGCCACCGUCCCCCCAGCCAUUCGCUCCUACUGAUGAGACAAGAUGCGGUGAUGACAGAAUCAGCUUUUUGCACAGCCAGAGAACAACACAUCACACACAGGAAACAGUUGUGCUCAUGUGAUGGGGGCCUCAGCACUAGGAAGGAGUGGACUAUUGGCACACGCAGCAGCUUGAAUAAAUCUGAAAGUCACUAUGCUGUGUAAGAGAAGCCAAAUUUAAAAAGUGCAUGCUGUGUACAGAGGGUGUCAAGAAUGCCUCCUACGUGACGGAAAGCAGAUCCGUGGUUGCCUGCAGACUGGCAGGAGCAGAUUCCAAAGGCACAGGAAGAAGCUUGUGGGUAGAAUGUGUUCAUUACCUUCUGUGCAUUAUACCAUAAAAAAGCUGGUCACAAAAAUGCAAACCAAAAACAAAGGUGAAACUAGGAUAAGAUUUCUCACCUGUGUGAUUGGUAAACGUGCAGAUGUGCCGUCAUGCUUUGUUUAUGAAGCUGUGGGAUACAAGGACUCUCAUACGUCACUGUGGAAUGCAGAAUAUUGCAGCCUCAUGGAAGAGGAUUUGGCAGCGUCUAACAAAACUACAUGGCAUUUGCCCUUUGACUCAGCAAUUCUAGAAUCUGCCUCAAAAAAACUCCAGCAAAGAAAUGAAAGGACUUUAGGCACAGAGUUCUUUUCACAGCCUGCAUGUGUUUGCAACAAAGUUCUUCACUGUGGCGUUUGUAAAUGUGGGGAAAAGAGAGAUCAGGCUGGUACUGUGUCUGUGUAGAAAAGGAGGACGUAAGAAACUCCAUUUUGAUCUGUACCCCGAGCGAUUGUUUUGCCCUGAGAUGCUGUUAAUCUGUAACUUUAGCCCCAGCCUUGAGCUCACAGAAACCUGUGUUGUAUGGAAUCAAGGUUUCAGGGAUCUAGGGCUGUGCAGGACGUGCCUUGUUAAGAAAAUGCUUACAGGCAGUACGCUUGGUAAAAGUUAUCGCCAUUCUCCAUUCUCGAUAAACCAGGGGCACAAUGCACUGCGGAAAGCCGCAGGGACCUCUGCCCAGGAAAGCCGGGUACCAUCCAAGGUUUCUCCCCACUGAGAUAUGGCCUUGUGGGAUGGGAAAGACCUGACCAUCCACCAGCCCGACACCCGUGAAGGAUCUGUGCUGAGUAGGAUUAGUAAAAGAGGAAGGCCUCUGUCUCCUGCCUUCCCCUGGGAACGGAAUGUCUCAGUAUAAAACUGAUCGUACAUUUGUUCAAUUCUGAGAUAGGAGAAAAACCACCCUGUGGUGGGAGGCGAGACAUGUUGGCCGCAAUGCUGCUGUUACUCUUUACUCCACUGAAAUGUUUGGGUGGAGAGAAGCAUAAAUCUGGCCUACGUGCACAUCUAGACAUAGUACCUUCCCUUGAACUUACUUGUGACACAGAUUCCUUUGCUCACAUGUUUUCUUGCUGACCUUCUCCCCACUGUCACCCUGUUCUCCUGCCACAUUCCUCUUGCUGAGAUAGUGAAAAUAGUAAUCAAUAAAUACUGAGGGAACUCAGAGACCGGUGCCAGUGCGGGUCCUCUGUAUGCUGAGCGCCAGUCCCCUGGGCCCAC